GACGUAGGUGGCGAACGUUAUCCGGAAUUAUUGGGCGUAAAGGGCGCGUAGGCGGUCGUGACAAGUCACUUGUGAAAUCUCCGGGCUUAACUCGGAACGGUCAAGUGAUACUGUCGGACUAGAGUACAGAAGGGGCAACUGGAAUUCUCGGUGUAGCGGUGAAAUGCGUAGAUAUCGAGAGGAACACCUGCGGCGAAGGCGGGUUGCUGGGCUGAUACUGACGCUGAGGCGCGAAAGCCAGGGGAGCGAACGGG
rnacentral:rRNA from 1 species